GCGUCGGUGUUGCCCUGGGCGUUUGGCGCGAAAGCUGAGCAACGCUGUUUGAAGUUGUGUACUCUUCGAAGAUAUUGAACUCUUUUCGAAGAAAAUCUUUUGAAGACAAGAACAAAGGCACGGGCCAGCGUCAAUAAAGUGGAAGCAUCCCACGUUCGAGGGCAGCCGGUCGUAGGAGGCAGGAGAGUCGCAGCUGACUCUUUGACAGGUGCACGAGGAACGACGCAAGCUCCGCUCAUGUCUACGUUGCAGGUUGAACCCACCAGAGGGCAGACUGAUGCCAUCUCUGGACAGCUUGAGCAGCCUGUUCUUCUUGAAGUGACCCUUCCUCUUCUUCACGCUGGGCUUCUCCUGGUACAUCUGGUGGAUGAUGAUGUUCAGCUCCCGCUCCACGAUGUCGAUCUCUCGCUCGGCCAGCUCCUGUUCUCUCCUCCUCAGCUGCUCCUCCUGCUCCCUCUGCUCCUCGGCCGCUCGGGCCAGGGUCUCCUCCCAAGACCUCAGCUCCUGAAGAGAGGGGUUUGUUAGCGCCUCCUCUCACACUUCCUGCCGCUCGCUGCUGAGGUGUUGGCACCAACACUUCGCAGGCACACAAUGACAAGGUGAGAUGUUGCCGAUGAAGAAGACUUCAUGGGAUUUAUUCACCUUGCAACAUAACACUCCAGAAUGAUAUACCAUCUUUUUCUCAUUAAUUGUCAUUUAAAGUUUUUUUUAUCAUCAUUUUACAA